rnacentral:rRNA from 2 species
CGAGAAGACCCUGUGGAGCUUUAGACGCACAGAUGGGCCACGUUAAUAAGCCUCAGUAUAAAGAGGAGAAACAAAUCGGACACUAUCUAAAUGUCUUUGGUUGGGGCGACCGAGG